rnacentral:lncRNA from 1 species
UAAAUUUUCAGAGUAUUUCUAAUUUAACCUAUCCGAUUUGUGACUUUUUAAAACUUGUAAAGCUUACUCGUUAGAAGAAAUAAGAACAAGUUUUUGAAAAGAGGAAGAAGAAGAAAGAAAAAAGAAAAAAAAAGAAUAAAUAUAACUGCGACUGAAACUGGACUUGCUUAUUUUAGUUGAUAUGAGCUGAGUAAAAUCAUGUUGUUUCAGACCUUGCUCGUUAUAAUCGGCGAAUGGUCUCAUGUCCCGACACCUGCUUUCGAUCUGCGGGUACUAUAUUUUCUCCGUGUAACGAACGCGGUGUUCCUAUUGGCGAGUGCUUCGCACGUAACGACGUCUGAGCCUAGCUAGCGACAGUCUCCGAUUUUGCUGUCUCCACGGUAAAUAUUACAGUAUGUAUCUACAAACAUUUUUCACCUACGAACAAUUAAAAAAAAAAAAAAUUGACAAAAAGGCUAUAUCAAGCUAUUUAGUUUUGUAUCUUGCAUUCUUACGGAUUUUGAAAUCUGUUCUUGUUUUUAGGCCUUUAAAUUCUUAACCAACGUAUAUCGAAUUGUCGAUCUUAUUUGUUGCAAAGUGGUGGAAUUUGUAUUUACUCGAAUGAUCUUCUCUUAUAUAAGAGUUACAGUAUGAGGCUACUUAAUUAAGGAGUAAGUGAAGAUUAUAUAUAUAUAUAUAUAUAGAUAGAUAGGGGAUGCACCUUUGGAAGUAACCAGUUAGUCAAGAUUACUAAUUAUCAUAUCGUUAAAUUUAUUCCACAAAUCCACUGCAUGGAUAACAUCAUACGUACCCUAUCAUGCGAUAAUAUAGUUUUCAGUUACAAAAACUCUCCUCUAUUUAUUUCAGUUGUUCCUUUUGAUGAUUAUAUUAAUAUCUCAUGCAGUUUAAUUAACGUCUCUAGACUUUAAUCCCGAGUACAACAUAAGAUAAUGAUCUUGCAUAUAUAUAAGACGACCCACUAUAUUGACAAACUGAACAUCUAUAUAUAUACUGUAUGCAGAAGUUAAUAACAAAAAAAUACAUUGCAAUAAGGGCUAUGGAAUACUUGUACCAGGUCAAUUAAGACUGAGAACAUAAAGAAUAUAUAUAUAUUUUUUUUGAUAAAAACAUGCUUUAGAUUGGUAUAGACAAAAAAAAAAAAUUAGUAUAGUAUAGGGGGGGGGGUAAAAAGUGAAAAGUAAAAAAGGAUACGUUAUCCUCAUAUAGUACCUGGAAAUAACAGAAAAUAAAAACACAGGUAAGUACUUUGCCUGCCUGAGUAUAUAUCAACAAUAAAGAGAUACACACACAGACACACAAAAAGAGAGCGCAGAAACAAAACACACAGACUUAAAGCUUUUCUCCUUUACCUCUUCAUCCCUCUCUCUCUCCUUUAAAAAAGAGUUCUGAGAACAAGAAGCUCAGUGAUCAUCAUCAUCAUCAUCAUCACCAAUGGCGACUUCUCUCUUUUUCAUGCCAACAGAUCAAAACUCCGUCGGAAACCCAAACGAGCUUCUGAGGAACACCCACCUUGGUGUCAACAGCUCCGGCGAGAUCCGGACAGAGCCGCAGAAGAGCCGUGGUCGGAAACCGGGAUCAAAGAAAGGUCAGCAAAACCAGAAGAAACCGACCUUGAGAGGAAUGGGUGUAGCAAAGCUCGAGCGGGAGCGUCUCAAAACCGAAGCAGCAGAGAACAAACAAAUCGCCGCCACACUCGGAGACACGUCAGUAGCACCGCCGAACCCUAACAGCGCUACCCGUUUGUUACCCGUACCCGUGGACCCGGUUCUUGUCCUGCAAGGCUUCCCAAGCUCAGUCGGAGGAGGAUGCAGAAGCAACAGGAUCUAUUGCGGUGGAGUCGGGUCGGGUCAGAUUAUGAUCGACCCGGUUUGCUCUCCUUGGGGUUUUGUUGAGACGACCUCUACUCAUGAGCUCUCUUCAAUCCCAAAUCCUCAAAUGUAUAACGCUUCCUCUAAUACUCGCUGUGACACUUGCUUCAAGGUUUGAUUUUUAUUUUUCUUUUUUUCCUCUCAAACUGUGUUUCCAAUAUGUUAAAUAUAAUUUUUUGGCAAUUUCAUUAAAAAGUUUUGAUUUUUAUUAUGCAAACCGCAGAAGAAACGUUUGGAUGAAGAUCAGAGCAAUGUAGUUCGAUCCAACGGUGGUGGGUUUUCGAAAUACACAAUGAUUCAACCUCCGAUGAACGGCUACGAGCAUCUUUUUCAACAAGAUUAUCAGAGGAGCAGCCAAGGUUUCAUUUAUGAUCAUCAUAGAAUGACUAGAUCAGCUCCACCUUCUGCUGCUGCUGCUACUAGUUCUAAUCCGUAUCUUAAUGAGGCGACAAAUCAUACGGUAUAGUUUAUACACAUAUAAGUAUAGAUAUUCGUACUUUGGUUUGGUGUGUAUUGAUUUAAUGGUGGGUUUAGGUAUCGAUGGAGGAAUUUGGGAGUGGCUACAUGGAAGGAAACCCUAGAAAUGGAUCAGGAGGUGUGAAGGAGUACGAGUUCUUUCCGGGGAAAUACGAUGAUUUUCCAGGAAAAUAUGGUAAAACAGUCUCAUCAAAGGCUACAUCGGUCGUCGUAGGUGAUUGCAGUCGUACUAAUACAUCAUCGUCAUCAUCCACCAUCGAUUUGUCUUUGAAGCUUUAAAUGAUUUAAGAAAAUUUUGAAACAUCAUAUCGUCUCAGAGAUUUUUCAGCUCUCUCUUCUCUCAGCUCUUUCUAUAUUAAUUUAAACAAAUCGUCGUUUUUGUUUUUUUGGUUUUACAUAUUAAGUAGAAAAAAGUACGAAACAGAAGAAAAAAAAAAAGAGAUCCUUUUUUGGUGUAUGCAUCUGAGAGCUGAGUCGAAAGAAAGGUUCAGCUUUUGGAUUUUACCCUUUUGGUUGUUUAUUAUGGGAUUCUAAACCUAAACACUCAGACAUAUGUUCUGUUCUCUUCCUUAACAUAUUGUGUCAUGAAACUUUUUCUCUCUCUCUAUCUCUCUAAAGCUGUGUCAGAUCUUGGGGAUUGUAUCCAUUAUGUGUUUCUUCUAUCUAGUUAGGCAAUGAUCCUGUCAUGAUUCAUGUUAUCACCUAAUAUAAUCCUCGGUUUACGAGACGGUGUCAUCUCAUUUAGUUUUUGAUGUGAGAGAAACUUAUCAAAUUGCUCUUUGAUUCUAUUUUUUUUCCAACGACAUGGCAUAAAAUACAGGGUGGGUAUAUACAGCUUGAAGUUUUGGUUUAUGAAGUAUAUAUGUGUACUAGUUUUGAUAUUAUAUAAUAAAGGUUUUGUUUUGGUUCAAAUUUAAUACUAAUUAUAUGUACGCAGUCAGUUAUACACACUCCCAGUAUUAACUUAGAAAAAAAUGUCUUAAGGUGCAAAUUUUUAGUUAAUCAGCUUUUAUAUAAGCGGUUUUACUGGAGUAUAAGUACUUAGUAGUUAAACUGCUUUUGCUCUUCAAAACAGCUAUUUCGGUGAACAUGUUAGUAGUGAUCUCUCAGUCUCAUACAUAUGUAGAAAUAAAAACUGUCGAUCAUAAAUAUAUAAUGCAGCUAAAUAUGAACCAUACGUUACAAAUCUGUGUCUUCCUGUGAGAAUUGGUUGACAUAUAUUGAUAUAUAGUCCCUUAGAAAAAACACACACAAUAGAUAAACAACUUGAUGAUCAGCAUCAAACAGCAAUCAAUCUUAUGUUUGACAUUAGGACUGAAUUGAUAUUGUCAAAUGCAAACGCUAUAUUUUAAAACUAAAAAUAUGACAAAUGGGCCAAUAAUACAAAAAACACAGCCCAUUAGGAAAAAAAAAACUGAUAAGAUAAAACAGGUUCCUUGUGAGUAGAGAGAGAGAGAGAGGAGCUGUGCUUAGCACGUUCUCAACCUCUUGAAAAUUAUUCAAUAUACUACAAAACAUCCAUUAUCCAAUACAAUUAGCAUUAAUUUAACAAAAUUAAUUUAGAUUAUAAAAACAAUCUACAGACACGGCUCUCUUCUUCAUCUUCCUCAUCAUCAUUUUAAUAAAAGUUUCUAUAAUUUGUUGAAUCAAAGAAGAAGAAGAAGAAGAAGAGAUCAUGAAUUCAGAUUCCGAUUACCCUCAUCUCCCUAAUAUCAAGAUCCACCAUCCUUCAUCUCCUCGUCACUCUCACCACCACUCUUCCUCAACUCCUUCCGCCGCUACUCCUACCCCAACCGCCGGUGCUCGCCGUAAGAUCGGAGUCGCCGUUGACCUCUCUGAAGAAAGCGCCUUCGCUGUUCGCUGGGCCGUUGACCAUUACAUUCGUCCCGGCGACGCCGUCGUCAUCCUCCACGUCUCUCCAACCUCCGUUCUCUUCGGCGCCGAUUGGGGUCCUCUCCCUGUCCAAACCCCUCCUCCUUCCGCCGCCGUCGAUCCCGCAGCUCAGCCGAAGCCUAGUCAGGAAGAUUUCGACGCUUUCACGUCUUCCAAAGUAGCGGAUCUAGCGAAGCCAUUGAAGGAAGCUGGGUUCCCUCAUAAGAUCCAUAUAGUGAAAGACCACGAUAUGAGGGAGAGGCUUUGUUUAGAGACUGAACGGCUUAACCUCAGCGCCGUGAUUAUGGGAAGCAGAGGCUUUGGUGCUGAGAAGAGGGGAAGUGAUGGCAAGCUUGGCUCCGUUAGUGACUAUUGUGUUCACCAUUGUGUUUGUCCUGUUGUUGUGGUUAGAUACCCUGAUGAUCGUGAUGGUCCUGCUCCUCCUGGGAAUGUUGGAGGUACCAGGGAAGCUAUUGUGACUGUUAAAUCACGUAGGGAUGAUGACGAUGAUGAUGAAGAUGACGAGGCUAAGAUUGCUGCUUCUGCUUCUGUUUCUGCUCAUCCUGAACACAUCAAAGGUCAGGAUCAAUCCUUUCUUUCUCUCUCACAUUGUUGACUUGCAUAAGUCUAGUUAUAGUUUACGGAAUCGUUCUGAAUAUGUUAGCGUAGUGUUUUAGAGAUAUAUCCAUAGGUGGGAACUUGAAAACUUAGAUUUUUCCAUGGCUUCGUUUUUAGAAAUUAGGACUAGUGUGAUGUUUGAUUCUACUAUUGAUUGCUCUUGUGGAUGUUCUACUCUGUUUCAGCUUGUCAUUACCUAACUUUCUGCGUUAGUAAAUGAAAAGUAGCAAUGAUAUUUUAUUCUGUGAUUCGUUUCUCUUCUCAAGAUUCCAUUUUCUCGUCACCUGCUGGUAUUUUUCCUCAGUUGCUUUGUUGAGUGUAUGCUAUUUUCGUAGCCUUUUUGAUUAUUAUCUAGAAAUUUAGGGAGAUUUCCACUACAAGUGAUGCAAAUGAGCUUCUACAAUAUAUCUUCAAUUCAUGGUUUUCCUACACUGCUUUUGCUCCUUUUUGCUAACACUGGUUGCUUUAAUUCGAUUAAUUAAUUAUUGAUACCAAGAAGAUAAUUGCUUUUGGCCCAUCAAGAAAGUUUUUCUUUGUUUGGGUGUUUUUUUGACUGUUUUCUAUCUGCUCCCUAGUUUGGAGUAAUAGUAAGCCAAGUAUUACAAUUCUUGACUUAAGGGAAAAAAAAUGAAUCUCCUUAGAUCACCAGUUUGACUCCAGUAAAUUAGUGAAAACCAUGCAGUUGGUGGAAUGUUGUAAACUCUGUUACCUGUAAUAUGAAAUGUGUGAAUCAGUAUCUUCUUACUUUUCAUUGCUGAAAUGAAAGACGUCAUGAAACCUUGUCCAGGGAAUAAACAAAGUAGAGUGAUAUUAGAAAUCAAAAUCACUUCUCUUUGCUCAAUCUAGUUAGUCUUUUGGGAAGACAGUCUUUUCACUGCUUAUACACAUUUAGACAAAUAGCUAUGGGAUUGUUAGAAGCCUAGGUUUGCAAAAGAAAAUGUAGUUGGUCUUUGCUUGAUUGAUUCAAUGAUUCCACUUGUGUACCCUUGUGAAUUUGGUUUGAACUCUUAGAAGGAAAAAAUUGACAUGAAGCCAAUUAAACUAAUUGAAUAGUUACAAGUUUUCUGGACAUGAUUUGGUUAUCCAAAGAGAAUAACAAAAAUUGAGGCUCUUCCUUUUACAGAUGAGUAAUACGCUUUAGGAUCUCAUAGGAUUCACCAUCUUCACAGCCAGGUAAAAUAUAAACAACCUUUUUCAACUGUGCUCUGAAGAGUGGUUGUCUCUAUCAAUCCUUCUUUCGGGUUGAAUCUGAUUCUUAUGAAAUUCGUAGGUACGACGACGAUGGAUGAAACAAAGGGUGGUUAAAGCGGAUUUGUGGAGAGGACUGUUUGUGUGUGUUUGUGAUAUCUUUGGCAGUUUCUGGAAUCUCCCUCCUCUGUGGAUUAUUUAUUCUCUCAGUCCUUUAUAAGAUUGAUCCGUGUAUGAUUUUCACAUUUAAAACAAUGAAGAAGUAAAAAACAUUUUUCUUUUGUGAUUAUGAUCUUUAAUUAUCUUCAGUCUAAUUUGAUAUCCGAUUACUAAAACAUCCAAUCGUAUUCGCUAAUUUAACAUUGUGACCAGAAAAAUAUUCCAACCAAGAGCACUUCAUUAAAUUAUAAGAAUACAAAAAAUCAUUGCUCUUUACAAAAACGCAGUCAAAACAAGAAUAUAGAAUCUUAAAAGGAAUAUAAGAAAGUUUUUGUUCACAAAAAAAAAAAAAGUCUAGGGUUCCGCUAUAUAUCCUUCUUUUUCUGUCCCCCUCUCAUACAACAGGGGAGAACACUGCCGCUAUGGAGAAGAUAAGGAGAAAAAGUCCAAAAUUUGUAAUAUUCCUUUUCUUGUUUUUUUUCUAAUGAGCUUUUGUUUUCUCUAAGAUUGAUUUGGCUUUAUCAUAAUUUUUUUGGUAGGACAAUGACGAAGGUGACGAGGAAAUGGUCUUGGGAAGUGUAAGUGUAUCUGUCUCAUGGAAAAAUUUAACCAUAUUGAUAGGAAUUCGUAGGUACGACGACGAUGGAUGAAACAAAGGGUGGUUAUAGCGGAUUUGUGGAGAGGACUGUUUGUGUGUGUUUGUAGUAUCUUUGGCAGUCUCUGGAAUCUCCCUCCUCUGCGGAUUAUUUAUUCUCUUAGUCUUUUAUAAGAUUGAUCUUUGUAUGAUUUUCACAUUUAAAACAAUGAAGGAGUCUGAAUCAAACACUAAAAAAAAACAUUUUUCUUUUGUGAUUAUGAUCUUUAAUUAUCUUCAGUCUAAUUUGAUAUCCGAUUACUAAAACAUCUAGUCGUAUUUGCUAAUUUAACAUUGUGACCAGAAAAAUAUUCCAACCAAGAGCACUUCAUUAAAUAAUAAGAAUACAAAAAAUCAUUGCUCUUUACAAAAACGCAGCCGAAACCAGAAUAUAAAAUAUUAAAAGGAAUAUAAGAAAGGUCUCGUUCACAAAAAAAAAAGGUCUAGGGUUCCGCUUUAUAUCCUUCUUUUCUGUCUCCCUCUCUUACAACGGGGAAGAACAACCGACCGACUAAUAGGAGAAAAAGUCCAAAAUUUGUAAUAUUUUUUUUUUUUUUCAAAAUUUGUAGAUUGAUUUGGCUUUAUCAUAAUUUUGUAGGAAAAUGACGAAGAUGACGAGGAAAUUGUCUAGGGUUCCGUUCUCUUUAUAUCCUUCAUUUCUGUCUCCCUCUCUUACUGUGGAGAAAAAACGGAGAAAAAGUCCAAAAUUUGUAAUAUUAUUUUCUUGUUUUUUUUAUAUUUGUUGUUCUUAAGAAAUUUUGUUCCUCUCUCGCUCUAAAUGGUUUACACUUGGCUUUGUCUCGGAUAUUUUCAGUAAACUGGGGAUAUUGUCGAUGACAAGCCUUCCUUGAAAAAAAAAAAGAAGAUGCACAAGGUUUGACCUUGUUCUUGUUUGUAUAUGUAGAUCCAGAUUCACUUCACUUUUCUAGUUUUAUGUAGCUUGUUUUGUUCUCAUGAGCUUUUGUUUUCUCUAAGAUUGAUUUGGCUUUAUCAUAAUUUUUUGUUUUUUUUGUAGGAAAAUGACGAAGAUGACGAGGAAAUUAUCUAGGGUUCCGUCCGCUUUAUAUUUUUCUUUUCUAUCCCCCUCUCUUACUAUAGAGAAGAAAUGGAGAAAAAGUCCAAAAUUUGUAAUAUUAUUUUUCUUGUGUUUUUUAUCUUUGUUUUUUUGAGACAUUUUGUUAUUCUCUGUCUCUUUAAAUAGUUUACACUUGGUUUUGUCUCUGAUAUUUUCAAGAAAUUGGGGAUAUUGUCGAUGACAAGCCUUCCUUGAAAAAAAAAAAGAUGCACAAGGUUUGACCUUGUUCUUGUUUGUGUAUGCAGAUUCAGAUUCACUUCACUUUUCUAGUUUUAUGCAGAUUUCAUGAGUUUUUUUUUUUCUCUAAGAUUGAUUUGGAUUUGAAAAAGUGAAAAAAAAUUGAAAAAUCCAUAUAUAAUAAAACAUAUUAUUUCAAAAUCUAACUUCUUUUCAAAAUCAUUUGAUACAGUUCUAAUGAAUGGUUCAAAAGACAAAGGUUUUUUUUGUUGACAAAGUUUGCAACUACUUGUUUCAGUUUUGAGUUAUAUUUGGAAUUUAGGAUGGCCGUGUGGAUGUAAAUUAUCGUUGUUAUAUACGGUUGAAGGAAAAUGUUGGGUUUUACUUAAUUAUAGUGUAGUUUAAAAUAUAAUAGAAUCCGUUAGGUUCUGGUUUUUGACUUUCAGAACUACCUACGGACUAGAUGUUUGGAGUGAAUUUGACGGUAGUCAUGCUUUUGAUUGUGAAAGCCACCGAAUGAUUUUGUUUUAUUUGGUUGGAAUUUGUAGAAAUUUGAAACACAAUAAUCAAAUAUAGACGAAGGUAAAUUUAAUUAAAAUUGCAUUAAAACAAUAUAUCAGUAUUAGUUCGCAAUUGAUUUUUUACCGGCUCAUAUUGUCGCAUUUCUUCGGAAGGAAAAGAUUGAGAAAUGAGAACCACCAUACAUCUUUCAUAUAAAAUAAAUAAAUCAAACGGUCCAACCCCACACGACACAGUACACACACUACUCUCUCAUUAACCAUAGAAAUUUAAAAAUGGCUUAUAAAAAUGUAAAAAACGUUUUUCUUAAAGAAAAUCUGAAUAUAUAUUCAUGUAAAGUAUAUAAACAAAGCACAAAUAAAAUAAACAAAUAGGAAAAUAGUAAAGUAUUAAAUGAAAAGAAAAAAAAAAAUAGAAAGUGGUAUUGGUGGUGGUGGUAUACGAAAGAUGUGAAUGAUCGAUGAGGAUCAUAUCAUGUGAACCAAGAGAAGAGGAACAUGCUGAGAGAUAAGGUUACUACCAAAUAAAAACACAGUUCGCAGGGAUAUGACAGGUUCAUUGUUCUUGGCUAAUCAAUGAACCUUUCAGGACCCCCUUUUUUUAUUUUUAUAUAUACCAUUUUCUCUCUAGUCCCCACAAAUUUUUUAGUUUUCUUCGAGUGGUCGAUACUAUCAUUGUGCCCAUCUGCCACCAAUCUCUCCCAUAAUUCAUUUGAUCCAUAGCAUCGUCUUAUAUAACAAAGGGGCCAUAAUAAUAAACAUGUAAUCAAAACUAUGGUAUAUAUGACGAAUCCAAAAUUAUCUACUUAAAAGCUUAAAAGAAAAAAUAAUAAUAAUCAACAUAAUAAUAGAGAGGUCAGAUACAAAAGUUGUUUUAAAAAAAUUUGAGUUUGUACGACAUAAGCUGAUCAAAAGAAAGAACUACUACCUCAACACUGAAACAUAAGUAUUGUCAGAAAAUGAACGGUUAUGAUUUACUUAAAAAGAGGAAAAGAAGGGGAAUCAACGGCUGAGAUCUCUCCUGGUUUUACCGGUGGCAAAGAUGAAAGAAGAAGACGAUGAAGCAGAUGUAUCAACGGCGCUCUUCAAUGAUCUGACGAUCGAGUUAACCACCGGUUCAUCCCUUGACGAUCGCUUCAACGGCCGUGAAUAAAUUGAUUCUUGUCCUGAACUGCUUCCGAUCUCAUCCUGCAUUUGAUAAUUGAAAAUACAAAAUUAAAACCACCGGAGGAGACAAAUCCAAAUUAGAGUUUGACAAAAAAGAUGAAUGAGAAAAAGUUAGAUCCGUACAUCGGAGCAGAGAAGAUCUGAAUUCUCCAUCGUCCUCGUCCUCUUCGUCACGAAACCUCCGUCAGAAGAUGAUGACGAACUCAUGACCGGAGGAGGUUGCGCCGCCGCAGCAGCAGACCAAGGGACAACUUGAUUCUCAGCUUCCUCAUCAUCGUCAACGUCACCCUCAUCAUCAUCACUGUACUCUUCAUCAUCAUCUUCCUCAUCCUCACCAUCAUCGUAAGAUUCAGCGCCAUCUUCUCUAAUCCGAUCCUCUUGGGAAUCGAAACUAUCAACCUCCUCCGGCGAGAUCACGCUCCGUCCAGCGCCGGGUGCGUUUUUGAGAGCGACGCAGGAAUCGCAGACGGAGAAGGUAGGACCGAGACGGAGGCCCGUAGCUUUCCAGGGCGUGAGAGACUGGCAAGCGCUGCAGAGAAGACAGCGAGUGUGCUUAGCAACCAAGAAAUUAGCGCCGUGAACUUUACCGUCGCAGUCCCAGCAUAGACUAGCUUGAUCUGACUCGCAAUACAUUCUUGCUACACCGCUACAUAAAUCACACUUCUUCCCCAUAUCAAAACUCUCUAUCAAGAUUCUUUCGUGUUAAGCUCCUUCGUUCUCUAUCCUUUGCUUUGGUGUCUUGAAGGAAUAAGAAGAAGAAGAAGAAGAAGAAGAAGAAGAGGAAAGCGCAAGUUGCAGAGAGGAGGAGGAAUUGGGAUAUUUUGUUCGGGGGCGAGAAUUCUGUGAUUCAACAAUUCUUUGGAGGUUAGUUUCGUCUUUUUGUGUGUCCUGCAGGAAGAAAAAUCUAUAUCUCUUCUUUGGUUUCACGAUUGGCUUAUUUUAUAUAUAUAGCCAAGCACCCAAGUCUUUUUUAUUUUCUGUGGUUACUAUCCUAUCUCAUUUUCUCUUUCAAUUUUUACUUUACUACUAAACUUGGGAUAUUAUUAUUGAAUCAUUUAGUUAGAUUUGUUCAACCCCUUUUAAUAUUUUUACUCUAAUAGAAAUUGGUGUAGCAAUACUUUACACUUUAACCCUUUAUUCGAGUUAUCUUUGUUUGGAUAAUUAUCAGUUAUAUAUAUACAUAUAUAUAAUUGUUUAUUUCAUUGAUCAAAUCUUGUUUUAUUAUUAUUUUAUUUAUUUAUUAUGCGUUCUAUCUACAGUCCCUAUGCUUCCUUUCUUUUGUUUGUAUAUUAGUUUUGUUCCACCUUUUAUUAGUUUUAAAAUUUGUUCAUUUCAAAAUUGUUAGUGGUGAAUUUUGGUUAGUAUUAGACAAUUUUGAGGUGGUAAAUUUUUAAUUUUUGUUGUUAAACCAGUUUUAAGGCGCAUGGUCCAAAAACUCAGUUUUUUUUACGUGGCGACAAACUCAUGGUUGGAGUUUCAAGAUAUUAUUUUUGUGGGGUUAAUGAGGAGAUUGAACAACAAAACACUCAAUGACGUGGCGAGAUCUCAGCCGGGUAAGAAGGAGAGCGAGAUUCUAGUUCGUCCUACGUGGACGAAUCAGGUUCUGGAAGAGCGUCUGAGCCACGUGAGCCCACCUGGGAUUUGUCUGGACCAUAUUACAAAAUGUCUUUUUAAAUCCUCUCUCCCACACCACACCAGACCCUAGUAUCUUCAAUUGUCUAAACCCACUUGGUUUUUGUUUUCUUACUUCUCCCAUACUUCUUCUUCUCUACUUCUCUUCACAAAGUCAUCUGUUUCUUUUUUUAAUUUUCACCCCUACAAUUUUUGUAGACAGGAUAAGAUAUAAUAUAAAACAAAAAAAAUUGGAUUUUUUAAAUACACAAAUAAUGCAUUGGAAUGGCCGUAUGGGAGAGAAACUUUCUAAUAUAGUACAUAUGGACUACAUACAUACAUAGGCAAGAGUAUUAUUAUUUUUUAUUUACUUGGACCAUAAUUGUUUAUUGUCUUUUUUUUUUUGAAAUAAUAUAUUGGCUAUUCAAUCGUUUAGUACUACGGUUGAUUAUUAUUUUUUGUGGCUCUCAGUGAACCCAUAUUGUAUUGAAGGGAAAAUCAUAUGCUCCAUUAAAUCAUGACCACAUAAAAGAUUGUGCUUAUGUGGCAUGCUUCAAUAUGGGGUAAUCUUACGUGGCGAACAUCGGUGAUCUCAAAGAAUCAAUAUGAAGAUGACAUGUCAUCAUGAGAGCCACGCAAACGCGCUCAAUGUUUUUUUUUUUUUGUUGUUGUUGUGGGCGAGUGGUGUGUGGUGUGGUUAUGGCUCUCAUUCAUUAUUGUAGCAUUUUUAUUUUGUGUUUCUUUUUACUUUGUGUGGAUAAGAAUUUUGGAAUAAGUCAGAACUUUCAAGAAAGAGGUUCAAUAUUCAUUGUUCAUAUUCACAAUACUAUUAGCUGGUUGAAUACAUCCCUUCUUUCUAGUCCUUAUCUUCUAAAAGCUAUGUGCCGUGUCUCAUGUAUGUAUGUAUGUAUGUAUAGGGUUAGAGGAUAUGCAGAGAUCGUUUUCUUAAUAAAUAUAUAUAUAUAUAUAUAUAUAUAUAUGUUUUACAAACCAUUCAGAAAUGAUGAAAUCAAACGCCACAAAAAAAAAUUUGUUUUUUCGUUUAUCAUUCAUUAGAUUUACUUUACGUUACGACCACAAAUAUAUAUCACAGUUAGUAAUAUUAUAAAAAUAAAUGCCUCCUACAUACUUUGUAUUCUCAAUCAAUUAGAAGAAACACCGUACGUUACAAACCUUUAAGAUGACACGACUGUUGAGAAAAAGACUAACUAUUAGCUAAGAGACAGAGAUUGCCGAAAGCUGAGAAGGCCUUAUAGGGGGAUGAUGAAUAUAACAUAACAUGGGCCUCGCCUUUUGUCCACGUUUCUUUUCCUUUCUUUGCCUCCUUCACGUUUUUUGGUAUCUCUUACAGUCUCCUCCACGUUCAAGUGUUACCAUAAGAGAGAGUUCUCUCACUUGAGAGUUUGAGACACCCAUGAUCUUAUUAUUAUCUUUAUACGUUUUCAUGUGCCAAAUUUUAGGCUUUCAUUUUCAAAUCGUACAUACCAGUUUGGGUCAUCCGGUCACUACCCUAAAAUGUAUGGUCCGUAUUAUUAGAUUAGAAAAACUUCUUACUUGCCAUGAGCAUGUCCACUCCAAAAUUAGUCCCAAGUUUCAAUAUAUUGGAAAACUCUGGAUCAUGGCUUCAACUAUAUAUGUAUGCCUAAGAAAAGCUUAGACUUCCUUACCUUUAGUAUCUACUUUAUAUACUCAAAUCUUAUUAUUUUGGGGUAGUUUAGGAGGUAAUGAAGAUAAUGACUAAUUGAUCAUUUGCUUAACCUUUUUUGUAAUUAUAACUGUAAAUAAAGAUGAAAACAGAAGUAAAAAGGUUACAGAUUCUAGAAUAUACAAAAACCAGUUGACAAGGUUUAUCUAGGCUCUAUUACACUCAUGGUUUGUAAGUUAUUGGAAGGAAUCUCGAGAUUAAUCGAUACAGUGUCCGAAAACAAGAGAUUUCUUUCAUUAAAAAACCCUGGCUGCUUCGGAUCAAGAAGCAACAUUUCACUGCUCAGCAUCAGAACCACCACUGACAUGUUUGGUCUAUCUUUAGGAUCUUGUUGUACACAUAGCAGACCAAUGUGUAUCACUCUUAAAACUUCAGAUAUAUCGGUACAUGACUCUUUGAAAGCUUCAUCGAUUAGUUCGCAUGCUUUAUCUUCUGUGUAUUGCCUCCAAGCCUGAAGAAUUAAUUAGCAUUUUGUAAUUAACCUAAGUUUACAAAAUUUAUAAGUUAAUCUACGUUGUUUGCUGCUAAUGUACUUACGUGUCCAAUAAGGUUAAGCUUGUCUUCUUGAUUACAGAAUCCGCGGUUUCUUCUUCCUGAUACGAUCUCUAAUACCAAUACCCCGAAGCUAAAUACAUCGGAUUUUAAUGAGAAAUAGCCGUCGAUUUGAUAUUCUGGAGACAUAUAUCCACUGCACAACAAUAGAAAACAAAUCCUUUAAAAUUCUGUUUUUUUUUUGUUUGCUAUAAUGCUUUGCAUUGAAAUCAAGAAAGAUAGGUGAUCUUACUAUGUUCCAACCACUUUGGUCGUGUUUGCUUCAGUUUCAUCUCCUCCCAAGGUUCUAGCCAAUCCAAAAUCAGAGAUUUUUGCGUUCAUAUCAGAAUCAAGCAAAACAUUGCUUGCUUUGAGAUCACGGUGGAUGAUUCGAAGCCUUGAAUCUUGAUGGAGAUACAUCAGUCCCCGAGCAAUCCCUUUGAUUAUUUCCAGCCGUUUAGGCCAAUCAAGUUCUCUGCGACGCUCUUUAUCGAAAAUGAAAGAGUCCACACUUCUGUUUGGUUGAUACUCGUAGAUAAGCAUUCUUUCAUCCUCCUCCACACAAUAUCCGAGAAUCUUUACUAGAUUUCUGUGUUGAAGCUUUGCAAUCAAUGUGAUCUCGUUCUUGAAUUCUUCUUUCCCUUGUCUCGACGUUCUUGAUAGCCUCUUUACAGCUAUUUCUUGUCCACAAGCCAAUGUUCCCUGGUGAGAAAAAUCAAAACAUGUUACUCUUUUUGCGUAUAAUCUGAGUAUCAGACAAGAAAACUGUGGUUUGUUAAUUACCUUAUAGACUGGUCCAAAACCACCUUGUCCAAGUUUAUUUCCUUCAGAGAAUCUAUCUGUAGCUUCUGAUAUCGCAUCAAGAUCAAGAAACGGCAAUUCAAGAUCUUCAUCCUCUUGUUUUCUGCUGGAAACACGGACUGAUUCGCGUUGCACCAUUUCUGAAUAAAUCAAAGGGUUUAAUAACCGUACAAAAACUUUUUUUAAAAAGUUCUGAGUGUUAACAAACUACAAUCAUUUACCUUUUGUUGCAAGUUUCUUAUUCUUCACGUUGAAGAGAGUCAAGCCAAUGCAAAUGCAAAAAAGAAACAGUGCUGUCGAUAAUAAUAUGAUGAGCAUCAUCCCUAACUUCCCAUUCACGUCAUGGAUAUUAUACUUGUCUGUGAUCGAACCAGAACAGAACAAGAAAAUACUAUCAAGAUUUAAAUCAUUAUUAGUAAAAAGAAUGUUUUUUGUUUCACUAGUCUUAACCUUAAUUACCUAUUUCAGAAGAAGCAAGUCUCACAUACAGAUCUUGUCCGUUUUCAUUAUACUCUCUUAUAUCAAUCAAAUCUCCGAACCAGAGAAUACAUCCUUUUCCUCCAUCUCUAAUAUCAAAAUGCGAAUAAGCCGAGCAAGAACAGUUUCUCAAGCAUACCCUUUUGCAUUCGUUCAAAUCCAUGCUCUUAUCAUACCAAGAUGUUCUUGUAUCUGGUAACUUCAACUUUGAAAUCUUUAGAAAGUCUCCUUCUCCUUUACCCCAGCUCAUUUUCACUCUCCUAACACACCCUUGGGACCAAUCCCCUGCAACCCAAGCCUCUGGAGAUUUAGGAACAAACCCUUUCAAACACCUACAAGCCGGAGAUUCAUUGAUGUUGCAGCUUCCGUAAGAGCCACACAACGUGUAGAGAUCACAACUAUCCAUCAUAGCCGAUAAAUAGAAGUUCCAACUCUGAAGGCUAUCGACCCAAGUGUAACGUUGCAAAGCUCCAUUGGGAUUUAGCUGCAUUCUUGUGAUCACCGAUGGGUUUUCAAGCUUGUAAGUAUAGUAAGCUUCUUCCUCCGUGAACACGAACUCGUACCGGUAGAUAGGGUUAGGUUUUAGGUGAGGCAUACCUGUGAACCUUAGACCGUUCCAUGGACCAGCCCUGAAGAUAUCAACCGAGUUUUUCUUCAGGAAAAACUGCGGGACGCCGUUUGGAUCCAUUUUAUUCGUGAAGUUACCAGUGGAUGGAUCGUCUGGAGAUCUCCAAGAAGUCAAGAACCGGUUUAUACCGGUUACAAAGUUGAUACCAUAUUUCAUUCCUGGAAGAAACAUAUCUCCUGGGUAAUCUAAACUCUGCCAUAAGUAAUCUUGAUCAUCCCCUGAGUUUCUUACAACUAAAUUACCUGUAUCAAGAAUCUGAACAAUCGGGCUUUCUAUUUUAAAUUUCUGGGACGAUGAUGAUGAUGACCAGAGGAGGUAGUUUCUGCCAUUGAAGAGACAUAAGCUCCCGUUUCCAGAGAGUUUUAAGGUUCCUGAGAGAUCGUAGAGAGGAGAAUCUCUGUUUGCGACCCAAACAACGGUCUGGAGAGAGAUCUGCUUGUACCAAAUACCGAGAUAACGGUUUCUCGACCCUCCCGGAGAGAAAAAACCAAGCUCGAAGCUCCCACCUUUUGAAACAAUGGUGUCUCCGUCUUUUAGAGUCUGGUUUCCUGUGAUGAUAUCAGUUCCUUGUGUGGCAAGAAACGUCAAAAACAGAGAGAUAAGGAGCGGAGGAAGCACAUUACUGGCUCCCAUAGCUGGUUGAGAAAGAGAGAGUUGGAAUGGAAACGAUAAUGAUAAUAUGUUGUUAUUGGAAUUGGGGAGUUAAGGUACUACGUUGGUAUAUAGUUUUAUUAUUUGUUAAUGAGAGAGACAUGGAAGAGAAUUGCAAUGAGUAGCUGUGCAUAUCUCUUUGCGUCGUGAUAUUAUUUGCUCUUAAUGUCAACCACAACGUGCCUAAGAGAUUAUUUGUAGUUUAACCAUAUAUUUUAUACGACCAAAUGAUGGAAUUAUUCAAUGGAGAUGCAAAAUUUACUUCACAAUUGGAACUAAAUAAUGCAGUUUAAGGAAGAUAGAAAUAAAACAUUAAACAAAAUCUAGUGGGGUGCUCAGAAACCAUUGUAUAUAUAUUCAAAGUCUCAAACAAAACAAAUCCUGAGCUUAACUUCACAGUUGACAGUAUUACAUAUGGAGCAAAGAUAUUGCGAUGGGCUUUCUCGAUCGGACCCGGUUAAAGCCCGCCACGAUCAGUGUUGGUGGUGAUUAAGUGCUAAAAAAUGAAGCUUCAUUUUAAUCUAAGAAAAUAAUAAACAAGCCGCAUGGAUUAAGAAGAAGAAAUCGAGAAGGGCAGCAAAAUUCAAAUAUGAGAUUAAGAAGAGCAUAAUUAAUGGUUUGUCACACCAUUAAAGAAGACAAAGCCAACCAAGGCAGGCAAGAGUAAGAAUCUAAGAUAUAUCAUUAGUCAGAGACAUCAAAUCAGGAUUCAAUGUUCCUUCUUUAAAACUUGACUCAUAUUUUAAUGUAGAAAAGCAUUAUUGCACAUUCGGUUUCGGUUAAAAUUAUGAUUAGUAUAAUUAUGAAAUUAAUAAUGACAAUUAGUAGUAAUCCGUUAAGCAAGAUUUGGUUGGAUUUAUGUAAAGAUUAAAAAUAGAUAUAAAGAACGGGGACAUACCAAGCAGAAUAUUCUUCCCUGCUGCGGUUUAGUUUGUCCAUGACUAAGGGACACCAAAAAAAAAAAAAAAAAAAAAUCGUAUAAUCAAAUAUCAUGCAUUGAAUAGAAAGAAACGUCGCAUAAAAGAAAGUAAAAAAGUUUGACAAUAAAUGUUACAGUCAAGACAUAUAUUUUUCUUAUGUUUGGACUCUGGCGUUGCAACUUGCAAGAUUCAUCAUAAAGAUAGACAUAACAAACUAGUAUCAGAUUCACGAGUCGAUUACGAAAUUUGACUAUCCGAACGAAUAAACUCGUAAGGCCGCUUUAUGUAUAUAAAGACUUAACUCGAAAGUCUACAACAAUUGAAUGGUAUCAUCAUGAUAGAAUAAUAAAGUUGAAUUCAUUUCACAGCAAUGAUGUGUGAAUAAAUAAUAUCGAACCGACCUCAUUUUCUGGAAGGAAGAAAAAAAAAAAAAAACAACAUUUGUGUCACUUGGCUGAGGAAAAAGUGAUGGAAACUUCCACAAACCAAAUAUAAACAACCAAACAACUCCUCCACUCCAUUACUUUUAAAUAAAUCAUCUGACGAUUUUACCCUCCACUCUCGCCGCUUUCACACUACGCAAUUGUCUAUGUACAUUAACGAAUUGACGAUAUUACCCCCUAAAGCGAGCUUCCUCGAAGAAACUCCAAACACAAAAAUUGGCAAUAUCCGAGACACGGUGACCUUUCCUUCCUUGCCUUAAUUAAUUAUAUCUUAGCUGGCUUCCAUGGAUGUUCCUUCUCAGAAAUCCCAUUCUCUCCCUCCUUUCUAACUAUUUAUAUAUAUUCUCAAUUCUCAUCUUCAAACCAAACAACAACAACAUAAACAACAAAGAAGCUCAAAUUUCAGACUUUUAAAAACACUAGAAUCAUCAUCCAAGCUCUAAUGGCGUCACCAAAGUCACCUACACGACCAACCCAACAACACCCACAACCCACUUUCCACGAUUUCCUCCCCGCUAUGGCCGGAAACCUUGGCGGCGAAGGUCUUAUCGGAGAGCUCUGCAACGGUUUCGAGCUACUGAUGGACAGGGAGAAAGGUGUCAUCACCUUCGACAGUCUCCGCCGCAACGCCGCCGCGGUUCUCGGUCUCGGAGAUUUGACUGACGAUGACGUCAGCUGUAUGAUUAAAGAAGGGGACUUUGACUGCGACGGCGCGUUGAAUCAGAUGGAGUUUUGCGUUUUGAUGUUUAGGCUCAGCCCUGAUCUGAUGGAGGCGUCGCGCUGUCUCGUCACGGAAGCGAUUGAGGAGGAGUUCGGUGAUUUCUCUCGCCGCCGGCAUUGAACACCGGAGAGAGAUUGAUUUGGGAUCAUCAUCUUCCCCCUCUCUGAUGAUUUAAUUCGAUUCAUUUGUUACUUAUUUCUCUUUUUUUCAAUUAAUUGUUACAAUUUACAUAAUUCUUCGAAUCAUACGAUACUACUUUUAUACGGCUUACAGCUUACUUUACUUUAUAUAUUAAAACAUCGAUGUUGAUCGAUCACAUGUUUGAACAUAUCCCUAUCUCUAACUAAAAUAUAGAACACUCUCCGUAACAUCGUUUGUCAAGAAUUAAGCACACUGAUCAAAAUUUAUUUUACCAAUGUCAAAAUCACACUAUCAUCAUCUUUUAUUCAUUAAUCAAUCAUCGGUGUCAACAAUGUCGUGAUUCUAAUGCUUUGCUUAAUCAUUCCAUGACUAAAAGGAUACACAGUAUAUAGAAUCCAGACUAGAUACUAGAUAUCAUAAUUAAGUUGGGUUUUGGUGAAUAGAUGUAAAAUUACGGGGUAGAAGUGUAAUUUUGAUCAGUUUACGGGGACGUUGACUAAAAAAACUCUCCAAAUAGACUCUAAAGUCUAAACAAUACUGAGCUAGAUUUCUGGGAAAUUUAGAAAAAGCUUUCAGAAGAAGGAGCAGAGCAUUCAAUGGCGGCGACCAAAGUUUACAUCGUGUAUGUCAAAUAAUGAUAUUUCUCUAUUAAGAUUCUUUUUUUCUUCUUCCUGGUGUUAGUUUUGUAUUAGAACACGCGUGUAAAUGCGCGAUCAUCAUCGAUCGGUCGAAGAGUCGAUUGAAGAUUCUAUGUGUUUUAACUAGAUUUGUUCUCAUUAGGUGAUGCUAAGUUGCUUGCAUUUGAUAUUGUGCUGGGUUUGGGUUUUGAGAUUCUUGUAUUGGGGAAUGAUUAGAGAGGGAAUUCACAUUUUUUAAUGAUGGAUUUGAUGUGGAGAUGCAGUGUGUUGUGACAAUUCAAAAUUUGGUGAGUGUAACAGGUACUACUCUAUGUACGGCCAUGUAGAGAAGUUAGCACAGGAGAUUAGGAAAGGUGCUGCUUCUGUUGAUGGAGUUGACGCCAGACUGUGGCAGGUCGGUAGCUUUUUUCUUUUGUGGCUCUUCAUUGCCAAUCUCAUGAGCACAUCUGAUUCUUGGUUUACAACUGACUCUAACUCUUGUAGAAUGUGACAAUAAAGGUUAAAGAUUAGAGAUUGGAUCUGAAAGAAAGAAAGGAGAAAAUACAAAUUCGGACUUUUUGGUUUACGGAAAUUGUUAAUUUGAGUGAAUCAACACUAUUGACUGGAUGAUGACCACUUACUUCCUGUUUUCCGAAUCAUUGAGCUACAUUUGUUUUGGCAUGCUUUGUUGUCUAUUUGGCAUAUCUUAGUGUGUUCUCUCUUCACUGAGUUUCAGUUUGCCACGACGAAAGUAUGCUUGACUCUCAGUUUUCUGAAAGAAACAAGAAGAUGCUCUAAAUUUUGUUUUCCUUAUGCAUUUGUAGCUGCCAACAUUCUUGAUAGUGUUUGCUUUAUCACGCUUCUUUAUCUCUGACUAGUAAGUACUAGCUAUUUCCUAAGCUAUCAGAACCAAAACAAAGCUAUGUUUUCAUCCCAGCCGCAUGUUUUACCAUAAGCUCUGCUUUUUAUGUCUACAUUGUGCUUUCCCUUAGUUGGUUUACCCGAAGUAGUAAGUUCCUUGAUUCUGCAUCUAUUAUCUGCUCUUUAGUGUUGCUAGUCAUAAGUUAUUUUGGAAUAUAAAUGUUUAAAAGUACACUGAAGAUUUGAGCUAGCGUUUGUUCUUGACAGGUACCUGAAACGCUCCAAGAAGAUGUGCUAUCUAAAAUGAGUGCACCGCCAAAGAGUGAUGCUCCUAUUAUCACCCCAAACGACCUUGCUGAGGCUUAUGGAUUUGUCUUCGGCUUCCCAACAAGGUUUGGUAUGAUGGCUGCUCAGUUCAAGGCAUUCUUGGACGCAACCGGUGGCCUCUGGAGGACUCAGCAGCUCGCCGGCAAGCCAGCCGGAAUCUUCUACAGCACAGGAUCCCAAGGUGGUGGUCAAGAAACCACUGCGUAAGUUCCCUUUUGCAAUCCAAACAACACCUCAACAAAGAGACCAAUUGCUAUAUUGUUGAUAGAACUGGUUUCUGUGUUAGAUUAACUGCUAUUACUCAGCUGGUUCAUCAUGGAAUGAUAUUUGUCCCGAUCGGCUACACAUUUGGUGCUGGUAUGUUUGAGAUGGAGAACGUUAAAGGUGGGAGCCCAUACGGGGCAGGAACAUUCGCUGGAGACGGGUCGAGACAGCCAACGGAAUUGGAGCUGGAGCAAGCAUUUCAUCAAGGGAAAUACAUCGCAUCCAUAACUAAGAAGCUCAAGGGAACUGCUGCUGCUUAGAGCUCUCUCAAAAAAGAUAAUGCUUUGAUUCUUUGUUGGUAAAUUUCUAUAACUUGGCAUUUCAAAAAAAAAAAAAAAAUUGUUUUGGAAUUAGCUCACAGCAAUAACACACCAUUGCCUUUAUUUGUAACUUGUCCCACUUAAGAGUUAAGACUUGUUUAAAAGCGAAACUCACGUGAACCAGAUAGCAAACAAAACUCGGUACAUGGUAUAGUGAAAACAUCGUUGCCCACUAAAGGCCCAUCACUUCAAACCAGUCCAAUAAAAAUUCACAUCAGAGAUCCAACUCAUAUUCAUAUCACCUGAAGAAAGUACUUAUCAAAACUAACUACUAUACGUAUACUAUUUGUUUCAAAGUUUUACUCUUAUGAGAAUAUUCAAUGUACGUUUUGAAUCUUUAAAUUAUAUGAUUUAGUUUAAAGCUUUUAAUAUCGUGAAUUUUAAUAUAGUAUCUUUGAAUCCAGACCAAUGAUCAUCUUUCACCGAAGAAGUUAAGAAGUUAAAAUAAAGUAAUAUUUGUUUUCUGUAUUCACCUAAAUGGGAAAUGUCAUAAAGAUGGUAUCCAAUGUUCUUGUUUAGUGAAUCCGUAACCCAAGAAUAAUAUUCUAGAUUGUGUAAAGCAAGUCACUAAUCUCAAAUUUAGCCGGAAGCUUUAUUAAUUGGUCGGAUGGUCUUCUUACCUUAGUCGAGAGCUCCUUGGCACUAAGGAGUAAGGAGUUUAAUUUGAUUCCAUCUCCUCAGAUACGGUGUGAGAAUUCAACAUAGAGCAAUAGCAAAUAAAUGACUCGAAGAAACGUAUAUCGUUACGUACGGUUUAAAACAUCAUGCCUUUAAUCUACCCAGAAGGAUAGCUAAACCACUUAAACGCAUAUAUUGAGUUGUCAAUAAAACAACAGUUGCUGUUUAGUUAAUAAAACAUCAUGCCUUUAGUUACUGCAUUCUUACUAGGCAAAAAGAUCAGUUGGUUAAUUGGUCAUACAUAUAAUAUGAUGAGGAGAAAUGGAGGGGACCAAAAAUGGUUUUUAUAACUUAAACUAGUCGACCAUGAGGGAUCAAAUUGGUUUAUUCGUUUUGAAGUGCGACUUAUCUAGAUGAUAUAUAUAUAAUUUGGUCAUCGAUCACUGAUUCACUGAAGUAAUUUAAGGAAGUGAAAACUAAAGUAUUAUUAGUUUUAUGCAUUCACCUAAAUCGCAAUGUCAUAAAGAAGGCAUCCAAUGUUCUUGUUUAAUUAAUCCCUUACCCUAACAGACUAUUAUUCUAUAUUGUGUGAAGCAAGUCAUGCUUAAUCUCGCAUUAGCUGGAAGCGUUGUUGGCACUGAGUUUGAUCCAUAUUCUUAGCUUGCUUAUACGUUGGUUGCUUCACUUUAGGUUAUUGGUUCGACCGUACGUAGAGACAAGAUAACAUAUUUACACAACAUAAAUUAUACAUCAAAUUCAGAAGAUAAAAUUUAGUAGUGUUAAAAAAAAAAUUAAAAAUAAUAUAUAUAUAUAUAUAUAUUAUCUAAUGGUUUUUAUUGUUGUUGUCGUUGUGUUACCACUUACCACUCGAAUGCAAUCCCAUAAUCCCAUAUGUUGCAUAUAGUUAACACACAAAAGAAAAA